rnacentral:rRNA from 1 species
AGUGAACGCUGGCGGUAGGCCUAACACAUGCAAGUCGAACGGCAGCACAGUAAGAGCUUGCUCUUACGGGUGGCGAGUGGCGGACGGGUGAGGAAUACAUCGGAAUCUACUUUUUCGUGGGGGAUAACGUAGGGAAACUUACGCUAAUACCGCAUACGACCUACGGGUGAAAGCAGGGGAUCUUCGGACCUUGCGCGAUUGAAUGAGCCGAUGUCGGAUUAGCUAGUUGGCGGGGUAAAGGCCCACCAAGGCGACGAUCCGUAGCUGGUCUGAGAGGAUGAUCAGCCACACUGGAACUGAGACACGGUCCAGACUCCUGCGGGAGGCAGCAGUGGGGAAUAUUGGACAAUGGGCGCAAGCCUGAUCCAGCCAUACCGCGUGGGUGAAGAAGGCCUUCGGGUUGUAAAGCCCUUUUGUUGGGAAAGAAAAGCAGCAGGUUAAUACCCCGCUGUUCCGACGGUACCCAAAGAAUAAGCACCGGCUAACUUCGUG